UCACGUGAUCCCCAACCUGCUAGUCUACCUUGCGAAGAGCUCUGCUGCUCUUAAAGGUCCUUUGGGGGACCCGAACUCAAUGUCAUGGGAAGCUCUGAGAGCUCGUGGAGGCGCCUUGAGGAUUCUGAGAGGGAGGAGACCGACUCAGAGCCCCAAACCCCUCCGUUGGAUAAUCUAAGUGUCCUUUGGAAGAAUGCGGUGGGCUUCUGGAUCUUGGGGCUUUGCAACAACUUCUCAUAUGUGGUGAUGCUGAGCGCUGCCCAUGACAUCCUUAAGCAGGAGCAGGCAUCUGGAAACCAGAGCCAUGAAGGAUCCUAAAGAGACCAACGGGUACCAGGUUGGUGAACUCAAAUAACUGGCUGGGUGGAACCAGGCCCAACACCCAUGCCCCAUAACAGCUCAUCUCGAUUUGAUUGCAAUUCAAUCUCCACAGCUGCGGUGCUCCUAGCAGACAUCCUUCCCACCCUUGUCAUCAAACUCCUGGCUCCUCUUGGCCUUCAUUUGCUGCCUUACAGCCCCCGGGUGCUUGUCAGUGGAGUCUGUUCUGCUGGAAGCUUUGUUCUGGUUGCCUUUUCUCAAUCAGUGGGGUUAAGCCUGUGUGGAGUGGUUUUGGCCAGCAUCUCAUCAGGUCUAGGGGAGGUCACCUUCCUUUCACUGACUGCCUUCUACCCCAGUGCUGUGAUCUCAUGGUGGUCUUCAGGAACUGGGGGUGCAGGGCUUCUUGGAUCGCUGUCAUACCUGGGGCUCACCCAGGC
rnacentral:lncRNA from 1 species